GUAUCAAAACUCUUCACAAACUAACAGAUUAAAUAAUUAAAUGAUUAUUCCCAAUAAAAUUGGAGCAAAUAGGUUAAAUUACUUUCCUUAAGAUUAUACAACCAAUCAGAGAGAGGUGUCAGAUUUGAAUCCAGGAAUCGAACCCACAUCCUCAUGGAUACUAGUCAGAUUCGUUUCCACUGCACCACAAUGGGAACUCCCAUUUUAUUUAUAUUCUGCCUUUGCUUAUUUGUUAUACCUAUUUGUAAGUUUUAGUUUUGUUGUAAUUUUAUUUUUCAAAUGCCACAUAUAAGUGAUAAGAUACAGUAUUUGUCUGAUUUAUUUCACAAACUGUAAUACCUUCCUGGUCCAUCCAUGUUGUUGCAGAUAGCAGAACUUCAUUCUUUUUUAUGGCUGAGUAGUAUUUGUGUGUGUGUGUGUGUGUGUGUGUGUGUGUGUGUGUGUGUGUGUGUGACCUUUAUCCACUCAUCUCUUGAUGAACAUUUAGGUUGCUUCCAUUGUCUUGGCUAUUGUAAAUAAUGCUGGGAUACAUGUAUCUUUUUGAAUUGCUGUUUUCAAUUUCUUUGGAUGUAUACCCAGGAGUGGAAUUGCUGGAUUGUAGGAGAGUUCUACUUUUAGAGGCUUUUUUUUUUUUUUUUUAAUGUUAUGGCUGCACCUACAGCAUGUGGACGUUCCUGGGCCAGCAACUGAAUCCAAGCUGUAGCUUCAACCUGCGCCACAGCUGUGGCAGCACUGGAUCCUUUAACCCACUCCUCUGGGCCAGGCAACAAACGCUGACCUCCGCAAUCACCUGAGCCACUGUGGUCAUAUUCUUAACCUGCUGGUCAUAGCGGGAACUCCUAUUUUUAGUAUUUUGAAGAAACUUCAUGCUGUUUUCCAUAGUGGCUGUGCCAGUUUACAUUCCCACUAGCAGUACACAAGGGUUUCCUUUUUUCCAGUUCCCAUCCUCAUUGGUUAUUUGUGGUCUUUUUGAUAACAGCCCUUCUGACAGGUGUGAGGUGAUAUCUGACUGUGUUUUGAUUGCAUUCCUCUGAUGAUUAGUGAUGUCCAGUAUCUUUCCAUGUGCCUAUUGGCCAUCUGUAUGUCUUCUUUGGGAAAAUAUCUAUUCAGAUCUUUUACCCAUUUUUUGAUUGGGUGUUUUACUUUUUUGAUAUUGAGUUGUAUGAACUGCCUCUAAUUUUAGAUAUUAACCCCUUAUUAGUAAUAUCAUUUGCAAAUAUUUUUUCUUAUUCAGUAGGUUGUCUUUGUGUUUUGUCAGUGGUUUUCUUGGCUGUGUAAAACCUUUUAAGUUUAAUUAGGUCCCACUUGUUUAUCUUUACUUUUGUUUCCUUUGCUUAGGAGAUAGAUCCCAAAAAUGUUACUACCAUUUAUGUCUAAGAGUGUUCUACCUAGGUUUUCUUCUAGGAGUUUUAUGAUUUCCAAUCUUAUAUUUAGGUCUUUAAUCCAUUUUGAGUUUAUUUUUUGUAUGUGGUAUAAGAAAAUGUUCUAAUUUCAUUCUUUUACAUGUAGUGGUCCAGUUAUCCCAGCACCACUUAGUGAAGAAAUUAUCUUUUUCCCAUUGUAUAUUCUUGCCUCCUUUGUUGUAGAUUGUAGACCAUAAGUGCAUGAGUUUAUUUCUGGGCUCUCUGUUCUGUUUCAUUGAUAUAUAUGUCUGUUUUUGUAUCAGUAAAAUACUGUCUUGAUUACUAUAGCUUUGUAGUAUAGUCUGAAGUCAGGAAACAUGAUACCUUCAUCUCUGUUCUUUUUCUUUUUCUUUUUUUCAAAAUUGUUUGGGCUACUCAGAGUCUUUUAGAAUUUUUUUGUUUUUGUUUUGUGAAAAAUGCCAUGAGUAUUUUGAUGGGAAUUGCAUUGGGGAAUUGCAUUGAAUCUGUAGAUUUCCUUGGGUAGUAUGAUCAUUUUGAAAAUAUUAAUUCUUCCAAUCCAUGAUUAUAGUAUAUCUUUCCAUCUGUUUGUGUUUCAGUUUCUUUUGUCAGUGUCUUAUAGUUUACCAAGUACAGAUCUUUUACCUUCUUAUUUAAGUUUAUUCCUAGCCAUUUUAUCCUAUUUGAUGCAAUGUCAAAUGAGAUUGUUUUCUUAAUUUUCUCUCUUAGCUAAUUAUUAGUAUAGAGAAAUGCCACAGAUUUCUGUAUAUUAAUUUUUUUGGCUGUAUCCACAGCAUGCAGAAGUUCCUGGGCCAGGGAUCAAACCCAUGCCACAGUUGUAACCAGAGCCAUGGCAGUGACAAUGCUGGUUCCUUAACCCACUGAGCCACAAGGGAACUCCUAGGGUUUUCUAUGUAUAGUGUCAAGACAUCUUCAAACAGUACCAGAAUUUUACUUCUUCCUUUCUAAUUUGGCUUCCUUUUAUUUUUUUUCUUGUCUGAUUGCUCUGGCUAUGACUUCUAAUACUAUAUUAAGUAGAAGUGGUGAGAGGGAGCAUCUUCUCUUAUUCCUGAUCUUAGAGGAAAGGCUUUCAGCCUUUCACCUUUGAAUAUGAUGUUAUCUGUGGGUUUGUAGUGAGUGAGCUUUAUUACACUGAAAUAUGUUCCCUUCAUACCCACUUUGAUGAGAGUUUUUAUUAUGAAUGGGUGUUGAGCUUUGUCAGAUGUUUUGUUGAUGUUUUUUCUGCAUCUGUUGAGAUGACCAUAUGAUUUUUAUUCUUCAGUUUGCUAAUGUUGUUUGCUUUAGGGUUUACACUGUACAUCUUUAAGUUAUCACAGGCUACUUUCAAAGAAUGUUACACCAUACUAUGUAUAUUUCCUUUUCCUCUCUCCUCUUUUGUCCUAUAGUUAGCAUACAUUUUAUUUUUACAUAGUUAUAAAGCUCAUAAUACAUCAUUAGUGUCUUAGCUUAGACUUUAUCUUUUCAAGUGAUUAAGAUUAAAGAUAAGAAAAAAAUUUCUUCCAGUCUAAUAAUGAGAAAGUUGAAAUAGUUAUCUUAAAGCCCCUGUCUUGAUAUUUUCAGUUUCUAGGUCAUGUAUGAGUCUGUUUCUAUUUGGCUGCUUUAUUUCUUGCAGGAUGGGUGUUCUUUUUUUUUUUUUUUUUUUUGGUGCAUUAUUAAAAUUUUAAUUUAAUGCCAGACAUCUUGUAUAGAAGAACAGCAGAGAUUGAAGUAAACAGUAUUUAUACUGGGCCAUAGGCACACUUGUACUUCUGUUAGGCCAUUUGUUUGUGGGAUUGAGUCAGUCAGUUAGGAGUUAAUGUGGGUUUGGGCUUUGACGUUGCCAUGAUUAUGUUCAGUGUACCUCAGAGGAAAAAAGCGGUUGAAAAAUCUGGUCUUUAGAAAGCAGAAAAGAUUGUGAUUAUUUCAUGGUGGUUCUUACUAGGGUUUGUCUUAUGGCCAGAUCUCUUCAAGUUAUGUGUGAAUCCUAUGCGUGUAGGAUGGUUAUAAGUUUUUAUGAAAACAACAAAAAAAUUACCUUUCAAAAUAUAAUUUAAUGAGAAUCAUGUUAAGUCACAAACAGUGCUGCUUCUAUCUGUAUUUUAUAAGGUUAUCUAGUAAGGAAGCAAAAUAUUCCUUAUUUCAAAAAAGGCAAACUUGGAGUUCCACUGUGGCUUAGUGGUUAAUGAAAUCUAACUAGGAUCCAUGAGGAUGAAGGUUCCAUCCCUGGCCUUGAUCAGUGGGUUAAGGAUCCAAAGUUGCUGUGAGCUCUGGUGUAGGAUUGCAGACGCAGCUCAGAUUCUGUGUGGCUAUGGCGUAGGCCAGCAGCUACAACUCUGAUUCAGCCCCUAGUCUGGGAACUUCCAUAUGCCGUGGGUGCAGCCCUAAAAAGCAAAAAAAAAAAAAAAAAAAAAAAG
rnacentral:lncRNA from 1 species